rnacentral:rRNA from 1 species
CAAGUCGAGCGGUAACAGGCGUAGCAAUACGUGCUGACGAGCGGCGAACGGGUGAGUAAUGCUUCGGAAUCUGCCCAAUGGUGGGGAAUAACCAGCCGAAAGGUUGGCUAAUACCGCAUGAGCCCUACGGGGGAAAGCAGGGGAUCGUAAGACCUUGCGCCGAUGGAUGAGCCGAAGCCGGAUUAGCUAGUUGGUAGGGUAACGGCCUACCAAGGCGACGAUCUGUAGCUGGUCUGAGAGGACGACCAGCCACACUGGAACUGAGACACGGCCCAGACUCCUACGGGAGGCAGCAGUGGGGAAUAUUGGACAAUGGGGGAAACCCUGAUCCAGCGACGCCGCGUGUGUGAAGAAGGCCUGCGGGUUGUAAAGCACUUUUAGUGGGGAUGAAAAGCUCAGGGCUAAUACCUCUGGGUCUUGACCUAACCCACAGAAAAAGCACCGGCUAACUCUGUGCCAGCAGCCGCGGUAAUACAGAGGGUGCAAGCGUUAAUCGGAAUUACUGGGCGUAAAGCGUACGUAAACGGUUGGAUAAGUCAGAUGUGAAAGCC